rnacentral:rRNA from 1 species
UGAUCCAGAGUACCACGGGACACGUGAAACCCUGUGGGAAGCAGGAGGGACCAUCCUCCAAGCCUAAAUACUACCUAGUGACCGAUAGCGUAUAGUACCGUGAGGGAAAGGUGAAAAGAACCCCGGGAGGGGAGUGAAAGAGAACCUGAAACCCUGCACUUACAAGCUGUAGGAGCACAUUAUUUGUGUGACUGCGUACUUUUUGUAGAACGGGCCAACGAGUUACGUUGUGUAGCAAGGUUAAGCACUUAAGGUGUGGAGCCGUAGCGAAAGCGAGUCUUAAAUGGGCGUCCAGUUACCCGACGUAGACCCGAAACCAGGCGACCUAUCCAUGAGCAGGUUGAAGCGAAAGUAAAAUUUCGUGGAGGACCGAACCCACGUACGUUGAAAAGUGCGGGGAUGACUUGUGGAUAGCGGUGAAAUUCCAAUCGAGCCUGGAGAUAGCUGGUUCUCCCCGAAAUAGCUUUAGGGCUAGCCUCAAGCUUAGAGAAACGGAGGUAGAGCACUGAAUGUCCUAGGGGGUAUUGCACUUACCGAAGACUAUCAAACUCCGAAUGCCGUAUUCUUUUGCUUGGGAGUCAGACUAUGGGUGAUAAGAUUCAUAGUCAAGAGGGCAACAGCCCAGAUCGUCAGCUAAGGUCCCUAAAUGUAAGUUAAGUGGUAAAGGAUGUGGAAUUGCACAGACAACCAGGAUGUUGGCUUAGAAGCAGCCACUCAUUUAAAGAGUGCGUAAUAGCUCACUGGUCGAGUGAUUCUGCGCCGAAAAUUUCCGGGGCUAAAACUUACUACCGAAGCUACGGCAUCAUUAUGAUGGGUAGGGGAGCUUUCUAUGCGGCUUGAAGCAUGACCGUAAGGACAUGUGGACUGCAUAGAAGUGAGAAUGUUGGCAUGAGUAGCGAGAUGUGGGUGAGAAUCCCACAGGCCGUAAACCCAAGGUUUCCAGGGGAAGGUUCGUCCGCCCUGGGUUAGUCAGGACCUAAGCCGAGGCCGAAAGGCGUAGGUGAUGGACAACAGGUUGAUAUUCCUGUACCACCAAUAACCGUUUGAGAAAUGGGAUGACACAGUAGGAUAAGCUAACCGCACUGUUGGUUAUGUGCGGGCAAGUAUUGAGGCAGUUCCGAUAGGCAAAUCCGU